UUUAGUAUCCUCUGUUAUAGAUAUAGGAGUUGCAGACAUGAAAGAACCAAUCAACCCACCAAAAUCAUCAACACCCAAAGCUUUCUUUCUCUCUCUAAUUCUCCUCUCUCUCUUUUCUACCUCAUCUUUCUCUCUCUACAAUCCAAACACCCCAACUCCCAGCAACCGUACAAUCACCAUCAACGGACUCAAAAUCCGACCCGAAUACACCUCCUACGACAUCCACAUCCACCACCAGCUUCACAAAAACUCCGAAAAUAUGGACCUCCAGGGAUGGGGACCAAAAGAUUCGGGUUUUCACCCAAAUUUUUCUCCAAUUAAAACAAGAAAAACUGCUCGCAAAUUCAUCAAAGGCGCUUUGUGUUGGAGCUCGGAUUGGGUAGGAAGUGGAGGCUUUGAAACAGGUUGGAGUUAAUGAUUCAAUCGGGUUGGAUCUUGUACCCUACCCGCCUAUUGUGAUUAAGGAUAAAUUCAUUGGAGAGAUUGAACGGACGUUGAAGCCUGGUGGAAUCUGUGUGCCAUCAAAAUAUAAGGAGGCUUGCUUCAACUGGCCAUGGCGGUGGUUUGGUGGUGAUUGGAUCAGUCUGCCAUCAAAAUAGAAGGAAGACGAGAGGAUGGGUUGAAGAAGGCAACAAUUUGGUUGUUUCUGGGUUUUUUCUGGUGUGUUUGUGUGUGAGAGAGAGGUGGGCCCCAAGUUUUGUAUACGUGUGCUCUAAACCGGCUAAAACAAGUAAAGGGGACUAAAAGAACAAGUUGUUCACAAGUUGGUUCCCUCAUAAAACCACGAAAAAACUUAAAUGACUAAAAUGGUCAACCUUAGAAACUUCAUAGGGCGUAUGUGUCAUUUUCCCAAUUUAAAAAUAUAUUCAGUAAAAAUGUAGGAAAAAAAACCUUUUUAAUAUAAAAUAUGUUAUAUUAUUUGUAUAAUUAAAUGAAUCAAGAGAGAAAAGAAUUGCAGCAUAAAGCUGUAUGAAAAACUUAAUAAUGAUGCAACAAUUUAUUUGAUAUGAUAGAUUAAACCUUAUACAUUUCAAUGUAAUAUAAUGUCCUAAAAACAUAUUAAUCUUAUUCAUAACUUGACUUGUAUUAAACUAUCAACAGAAGAAAGAGAAGAACUCGAUCUAAUCAAUAAUUGAUGUUAGUCUGUUCAUUUUUUUAUAAUAUUGCUUCAGAUUUGAAACCCCACGUUUGCUGAUUAUGUACGAAUAUACAUCCUAUGUGAUUUAUUAUCUUUGUCGGGCUUUCAUUUUCGUCAAAUAGAUCAUGGGAAAAUACGGUUUUUUGGGGUUUAGUUAAAAAAUAGACACAAAAAAUUGAAUUUCCGGAUAUAGACAUGGAUUCCGCGGAGGUAGCUCCGAGUACGCGAAAUGCACUGUAGCUCCGCGAAAUGACAAAAUCGUAAAUAAAUCAGGGUAUUAAAAAAUAAUAAAAAAAAUAAAAAAAAAA